rnacentral:lncRNA from 1 species
UUAGAUCAUAAUCUGAAUGUCAAAAAUCAUAGAUCAAACAACAUAUCCACUAAUGUGGAUCAUUGAUUUGGUAGCACUCAAUUUGCAAACAAUGAACAACACUAAGUUGAAAAUUGAAAUUAUCUUGAUGAUUUGAUUUAUUUCCAUCCAUGUUGAUUAAACCCAACAACCACUGAGUACAAACUAAUCAAUAAGAAAUUUCGAACAUAAAUUUAUUCAUUUGAAAUCUUAUUUUACAAUAAUUAAAGUACAUCAAAUCAAUCAUAACAUGUGCUCUUAGUGCAUCCCCUCCUACCAUAAUGAGUGUACAUUAGUCUCUUUAAAAUUCUAGGGGUCCUACCUCCACCUCCCCCUCUUCUAGAGUGAGCAACAUGAAUACGCCAUCAAGAAGAAUGAUGCAUAGAUACUAAGGCUGUAGUCUCCACUACUAAAAGAGUAAGUGGUCUCUAUAUCCAAAACUUCACCAAAGACAUAGUGUCAUGUUUCAGUAAGUGAUGGAAGCUUGGCUCCCGAUAAAAUUUAGGUAAUCAAGGAAUAUUUAAAAUUAUCAUCAAAUCUCAUCAUUUUUACAUCCAUUAAAUAUCAAAAUAUAUAGCUAUUAAAUUGUGUAAAUCCUAAGUCAUGUUAAUUCACGAAAGUAUUAGCUUAAACUUUUCUCACAUUAUUUUAAUCUAUAAAAUUAUAUGGUCAUACCAUUAAUUCUUGAGGUAUUGUUAGAGUACAUUAAGACUAGAUGAUCCCAAACCACUUUACAUUAAGGUGAGUCACUAAGUCAGCAACACUUGGUUCAUUGUGUUACACAGUAAAUUAAAAAUUAUUAUAUCAAAUUGCUCCCAAUAUGAUAGAAUAUUAGUAUUAUAUGGUGCAUGUUUCUUUGGGCUUUAAAAUAUGAUAGAAUAUUAGUACUAUAUGGUUCCUUGGGCUUUAAAAUAUGAUAGAAUAUUAGUCUUUGAGCUGUAAUGAUAUGGCUUUAUAUUGUAACUAAAGGAAGAGCUUGGAUAGUUUAAGUUUGACUUCAUCAACCAUGACUAGAAUAUAGACUUAUAUUCAAGUAAACUGAAUUGUAGCUUGAUGAGUAGGUUACCACAAUGAAGACUGAACUAUUAAAUGAUUUAGUCAUAUUGACUUUUGCAAGAAUUACUUUAGGUGUAUAGGACACCUUUAGAUAACAUUUCUUAGACACAUGAUGGAGUUGGACACUAACAAUAUUGACAAUGAUACAUGUAGACUAGUGAUAGGGCAAGAAAACUCAUUUUUUAGAAAAUGCUGACAAAUGAUUGUCCUCUAUGGAGUAAUAGUGGUAGAGAGAUGAAACUAAGUGACGAGGGAAGAUGUUGAACAAUAUUAGAUGACAUAGGACAAUGUCGGAUUUUGCAAGAUAGUACAUGACUGCUAGGGAUGUGAUGGGAUGAUGCUAGAUUGUGCACGAUAAUGCUGGACUUUUCAAGACAAUGCAACAUGGUUUAAGACAAUGGGACUGAUGCUUUGUCAUUGUAGGACCAUUUGGCUCACAUCAUAGGACCUUGUUGUUGACAUGAGAUUUUAUUUGACAGAUAAGGGCUCAAAUGCCUAUUGAAAAUAAAGAGGACAAAGAGAGGAGUCCAAAAUCCAUUCACAAACAUGCUUGUUUCGGGUUAAAUAUAGUUAACCCUAAAGGCUGAGUACAUGCUAGUAAAUCAAUUAGGCUGAAACAUUAUUGGCCCAUUUACUUUGAUACUAACAGUAGGGUUAUAUAUCGACUAUAAGUCCAUUGAUUCCAUAUGAUUGUCAAUAAGGUUUCAUUUCAAACUAUAAACCAAGUUAUUUUUCAACUUAGUAACCUCAUCAAUAGUUUUUAUAUACAAUCAAUGUCAUCUACACCAUGAGUACAAUAACAACACCACUACUAAUGAAGAAAAACAUAAUCAAUUAUCAAUGAAGAGAGGCAAAUGGAGGGUAAACCAACAUGAAGCGGAGGAAGACAAGGGAGAUGGUGAUUAGGCUAGAUUAGGGUGAGCUAGAGAAAUAGUGAGUUGGAGUUGGGGAGAGACAAGACAACAAUUAGAUAAGGUUGUGAUGAGUCAAAGCAGUAGAUAGGCAAAGCAAGAUGGUGAUUAGGUGACAUGGCAAGAGUCAAGGUGCACAUCCAAGGAGAGGUGGUGAGUGAGAG